rnacentral:rRNA from 1 species
GAUGAACGCUGGCGGCGUGCCUAAUACAUGCAAGUAGAACGCUGAAGGAAGGAGCUUGCUCUUUCCGGAUGAGUUGCGAACGGGUGAGUAACGCGUAGGUAACCUGCCUGGUAGCGGGGGAUAACUAUUGGAAACGAUAGCUAAUACCGCAUAACAGUAGAUGUUGCAUGACAACUAUUUGAAAGGGGCAAUUGCUCCACUACCAGAUGGACCUGCGUUGUAUUAGCUAGUUGGUGAGGUAACGGCUCACCAAGGCGACGAUACAUAGCCGACCUGAGAGGGUGAUCGGCCACACUGGGACUGAGACACGGCCCAGACUCCUACGGGAGGCAGCAGUAGGGAAUCUUCGGCAAUGGACGGAAGUCUGACCGAGCAACGCCGCGUGAGUGAAGAAGGUUUUCGGAUCGUAAAGCUCGGUUGUAAGAGAAGAACGAGUGUGAGAGUGGAAAGUUCACACUGUGACGGUAGCUUACCAGAAAGGGACGGCUAACUACGUG